AACGGCGAGUGAAGCGGCAACAGCUCAAAUUUGAAAUCUGGCUUUCGGGCCCGAGUUGUAAUUUGUAGAGGAUACUUUUGAUGCGGUGCCUUCCGAGUUCCCUGGAACGGGACGCCAUAGAGGGUGAGAGCCCCGUCUGGUUGGAUGCCAAAUCUCUGUAAAGUUCCUUCGACGAGUCGAGUAGUUUGGGAAUGCUGCUCUAAAUGGGAGGUAUAUGUCUUCUAAAGCUAAAUAUUGGCCAGAGACCGAUAGCGCACAAGUAGAGUGAUCGAAAGAUGAAAAGCACUUUGAAAAGAGAGUUAAAAAGUACGUGAAAUUGUUGAAAGGGAAGCGUUUAUGACCAGACUUGGACUUGGUUAAUCAUCUGGGGUUCUCCCCAGUGCACUUUUCCAGUUCAGGCCAGCAUCAGUUUUCGCCGGGGGAUAAAGGCUUCGGGAAUGUAGCUCUCUUCGGGGAGUGUUAUAGCCCGUUGUGUAAUACCCUGGUGGAGACUGAGGUUCGCGCUUCUGCAAGGAUGCUGGCGUAAUGGUCAUCAACGACCCGUCUUGAAACACGGACCAAGGAGUCGUCUUCGUAUGCGAGUGUUCGGGUGUCAAACCCCUACGCGUAAUGAAAGUGAACGCAGGUGAGAGCUUCGGCGCAUCAUCGACCGAUCCUGAUGUUCUCGGAUGGAUUUGAGUAAGAGCAUACGGGGCCGGACCCGAAAGAAGGUGAACUAUG
rnacentral:rRNA from 1 species